AUUGAACGCUGGCGGAAUGCUUUACACAUGCAAGUCGAACGGCAGCACGGGCGCUUGCACCUGGUGGCGAGUGGCGAACGGGUGAGUAACAUAUCGGAACGUACCCAGUAAUGGGGGAUAACUAAGCGAAAGCUUAGCUAAUACCGCAUACGCCCUGAGGGGGAAAGUGGGGGACCGAAAGGCCUCGCGUUAUUGGAGCGGCCGAUAUCUGAUUAGCUAGUUGGUGGGGUAAAGGCCCACCAAGGCGACGAUCAGUAGCUGGUCUGAGAGGAUGAUCAGCCACACUGGAACUGAGACACGGUCCAGACUCCUACGGGAGGCAGCAGUGGGGAAUUUUGGACAAUGGGGGCAACCCUGAUCCAGCCAUUCCGCGUGAGUGAAGAAGGCCUUCGGGUUGUAAAGCUCUCUCGGCAGGGAAGAAACGCUCUGGGUUAAUAACCUGGGGUAAUGACGGUACCUGAAGAAGAAGCACCGGCUAACUAUGUGCCAGCCGCCGCCGUAAGAC
rnacentral:rRNA from 1 species